ensembl:lncRNA
AUCACAUCAGAGCUGAGCUGCUUUCAGACGACUCCGUCUUGUUGUGGAUGCUGAAGCUGAUCAUGGUUCUCCUGUGGAUGAUCCUGUUGGUGGUUCUGCUCUGUGCAGAGGCCGAGAAGGUGACCGAGGUCAGAGGAGAGCUGGGGACCAAUGUCACUCUAACCUGCUCCAAUCAGACAUCAGACCCACACUGGUACAUGGAGAUCCACAGUCAGUUCAGAGCAUGUAUCGGCCGCAGUUUUUCUUCAGCAGUCUCUACCUACUGCUCUCCUGGUUUUGAAUCCAAAUUUUCAAUCCUGAGAAACAAAAUUGUGAUUAAAAACUUCACAGCAGAGGACUGCAGGCUUUACUUCUGUGGCAUCAAGAGAGAUGGCAGCAUUCAUUUUGUGGAGACUUUCCACUUUUUGUUAGAUGCGUCUACCAGCAACCCACUGAAGGACUGCAUCAUGACUCAGUUCAUCCUCACGAUAUCCGUCUCAGUUGCCGCUGUCAUCAUUCUGAUAAUGGGUGGGGUUUUGAUACUGCUGUGUUCGAGGAAGAACAAAAGUAGCAAACAGGUGGAAGAGCCUUCAGCUCACAUCUACGAGAACGCAGAAACACUGUGGGCUAUUCAGGGCAAGGUGAUCCACCCCUACCGAGCAAGACAUCACUGAACGAGUUCUUUCAGACGCUACAAGACUUCAUUUGUUGUAUUUCACUGAAAAACAUACAAACAUUUGUGCACAUUUCUUCUCUGCAGCAAAUACAUUAAUUUUUUGCUAGUGCUGUAGAGCGUUAAUCUCGUUAAAAUGAUGUUAACGCCAUAACCGCGUUAACGCGACAAAUCUGCAUUAGCGAGUCAAUGUGGAUCGCCCCGUGCGUGGGGCUGCACAGCGUCAACGCAUAGAUUUGCCACGUCACUGCGGUUAUGGCGUUAACGUCAUUUUAACGAGAUUAAGGCUGACAGCACUACAUUUUGUAUAUUAUCAGGUUUGUUGGAAGACAUCUGUCCACUUGAGAUGUAAAACUUUCCAAUCAUAUGGAAAGGUGUGCGUUUUAAAAGAUAAACUAUAAGCUGCUGUCAAACCCUGUCAAGAUGGAAUCUGAAGGCAGACAAUGAUUCAAACUUGUGGGUUCAUUUUGCAGUAUUAGUACUAGGUGGAGGCAAUAACAGUAUUUAUGAUACUAACAGAAAUUUUAUAAAAUACACUGAGUAACAGUAGUAAAAGAAGUACAAACAUAGUUAAUGUCAACAUCAUAGGUAGUAGUUUUCGUUAAAGUUCUUGAAAAUGGAGCAGUAACCUAUUAAUAGAUGUAGUAAAGUCUACGUUUGUGGUAGAACUGAUGCAGUAGUAAUAACAGCAAGGAUUAUGGGUAGUUUUUGCAGGAAUUUUAUAGCGUUACUGUCAGACAGGAUGGGGUUGGUGGGUAAAACGUUUCCUGACUUCUUCUUUUCUGCAAAGAUUCUGGCAACGCCUGAAGAAAAAGUAGAAAAGAGGAAAUAAUUUGAAGUGCUAAUUUUACAAACGUUUCCAGGGAAAUAUGGCUACUCUGCAUGACUUCACCAUUAAAAUCCUACUGUCAUCACUUCUUCUGCACACAACGAUGUGGCUGAAUUUAACUUUAAAGUCUUCACUCUCAGAAACAGCCAAAUGUAUUAGAUGUGCUGAGUGUGUUGGGAGGUUCUUCAGAACCACUGAGGUAUCUGACGUACCACAUCUUUUGGUGUGCAGCUGAUCACUUAUGUAACAGAUGGUCCCUACAGUCAUGUGUAAAAACUAGAUUUUUGCCUUGAAUAAGAGUUUAUAACUCUGUCAGGCUGGAGAUGGAGGGCAGACCUUUCUUCUUAUUUGACUGUUUCAGUAUUGGCUUUUGUACCAGACGUUUUACAGUCAUAGCAGUAACAGUAACUACUGUACUGUUUGUACUUCUGCUUUUGGUUUUCUCUUAUUGUUAGCAAUAUAGAUGGUAGCAGGAUUUGUAAUGAUUAUAGUAAAUGUUGCAGUAACUUACUAAUAGAUGUAGAAAAGGCUGCCCUAGAAGUAGUAAUACCCUUGGUUAAGGGUAGUUGUAGCACAGGACCUGUAAAACCAUGCAAAUAGUAUAAAAUGGAGUUUGUCUUUGACUCAUUUGUCUGUUUCCACUUGUUUGUUUCACUGUGCAAUUUAAAAAAUGUAAAUGGAGUCAAAUGUUUUAUACUUUUUACUUAAUUUAAUUUAUAUUUAACUAUCUUUUUUUUAUUUUCAAGUCACUUUCUUUUCAGUAUCAGCUAUGAGCUGUUGUUAAGGGAAGAUUUACGAUGUUCAGAAAAUACAUUAUGAUCCGAGCAGAAUUUCAUUUUUUUUUCCAUUUUCAUUUUCUUUCAAUUUGUAUUUUAAGUUCAGUUUAAUGUCAUUUCUCUGUGAUUUACCAUCUCAACACUUACAUUUCCUCUUACUAAUAACAUCUCUGAUACAUACAUAUGAUGCAGAGUAGUUUGCAAAGAAAUCCUUAAUAACGGAGAGCUCCUGUAAUGCCUGAUUUAUUAAAACAAGUUAAACAGGUUCAGACUGCACCAGCGUCUCUGAGAAAUUAACUGGCAGAAUGAAUGCACAAAGUUUAACCAUUUUUCUGUAAAUGUUACCAGUUAGUCAUGCAACCCUUUUAAUUACAUUUUUUAAAUUGUAUAUAUCAAGAUUUAUGCUUGAACUGCUGAGUUGUUGGUUUUUUUUUUUAGAUAAAUGAUGACAGGAAAUCCAAAUUACAAGCACCUGAUUUCACAGAACGUGACGCAUUGCCUGAAAUUAAACAGCAUAGAAAAUGUUUAAAGUGAGCUCAGGCUUACACAUCUGCAGCAGUAAUAUUAAUCAUAUUAAUAUAUUAAUAAUCCAUGAAAUCCAUUUCAUAAUAAUUCACAAUAUACAGCUACAGUUACAUGUGUAGUGGGUUUUUCAUAGUGUUUUUUUGUUAUUUUUAUUUAAAAUAAUCCUCUACCUUUUGACUGUCAUGGAUUUGCGGUGUAGCAGGCAGGAUGUAGGACUCAUAAAUAAAGAGUGAACUAAAAGAGGCAGCUUUAUAUUGGCUGUAAAUGACUCUUCACACAUACAGGAAACAAAACCAAAAGCAAGGAACUAGAAAUAUGAACUUGAAUCAAAACACUAUUAAACUUGGACACUAAGGAACUAAACUGGGAAACAGAGAGCUAGAAAACUACGAAGAGCACGGAGGAAAAAACACACAGCAAAGAGGAUGUCCACGAGGGUUACAGACGUGACAACAAGCAGCGGAAGACUGAGGACUAAAAUACACAGGCAGGCUAACGAGAGGAUGGGGAACAGGAAGAACACAUCGGGGACUAAUCUGACGUGAUGAGACAGGGGAAAAGCAAAACUCCAAAACACUGAACAAGCAAAGUAACACAGGAAGCAUGACACAUAGACGUGGACUUGACACUGAGACACAGAAACAUGACAGACUCGGGAACAGCGGGAACAUGAAGCACAGAGACAAGACCUGGGACACAGGAAAGACAUGAAGACAAAACUAAGACUGGGCAUAUAACACAAAACUAUAAUACAAAACUCAAAGAGUAUAACUAAACCCAAAAAACACAAACACUGGGCAGCCAGACCCAGUGCCCUGUCAUUGACAUUGUCUGCUAGUGGCAAAUUUUAGGCUGAUCACUGUAGAAGUGACAGAUUUUACAGUUUGUCAGCCAAGGAAGGAGUGCAGCAAGCUUUCAUGUUUCUCUUGCUUUCUUUCAUGUAAAAGUUUGUUCCUCAUUUCUUCUUUUACUUCCUAUAAAGGUUAUUGCAUGCCACUGGUAGUACCAGAGGGUGCAUGCUUGUGUUUCAUGUUGUAGCAGUAUUAUGGUACUCUUUACAUUACUUGAAGUGUCGGAUCACAUAACAAUUGGACUUAAUGUUACAUUUUGAAAUAAAUACUAUAGUUAAAUGUAUAGAAAUGUGAGUUUUUCUCAGGACUGGAUUGGGACAAAAAAAUCGGACCACACAUUUUGGUCUAGAUUCCCCCCCAAAAGAGAGAUAUUUAUUAAAACUCAGGCGGUGUGAUUUUUUUUUUUUUUUUACAACUUCCUCCAUCUCUUCCCCCUGAACUUCUCCAAAGCAACGAGGGACAGCGAUGGCUUGUUACUAGUUGUUAACCUUCACUGUGAUGAGCUCUGAAACCUGAAUAAAACUCAGUAAGCAGUUUUAGAACUACUCUGUCACGAAAUUUUGAGAUGAAAGUGAUGUUAAAGAUUGGCCUGUAAUUAGCUAAGAUGGCUGUUUCAAAGUGAUGGCUUUUUAAGAAAUUAUUUAAUUAUUGCCAGCUUUAACUCCUGUGGCACAUAGCCCAUUAAUACAUAUAAUAUUUAAGAUUGAAGCAUUAAUUAAUGGUGGAACUUCUUUGAGCAGUCUUGUACUAAGCGGAGUUCCCCCGCUUAGUACAUCUGUACUGGAUAGUGAUGCACCGUAGCUCCUUUCCAAAAUUCUCUCCAUUCAUCCUUUAUAUCAGCUAAACCAAGUAAAAAAAAUGCACAUGCCAAAUUUAUUUACAGAGCAAAUUCCAUUACAUGUAAACUCAAUGUGUGCACCAAGAGAUAAAAACAUAAACUAUAUAGGUCUACAGUGUCUCA